rnacentral:rRNA from 1 species
UGAGCAAUCUGCCCUUCACAUCAGAAUAACCAUUGGAAACGAUGGCUAAUACCGAAUAUGACUUCGGAUCGCAUGAUCUGAAGUGGAAAGCUCCGGCGGUGAAGGAUGAGCUCGCGGCCUAUCAGCUUGUUGGUGAGGUAAUAGCUCACCAAGGCGAUGACGGGUAGCCGGCCUGAGAGGGUGACCGGCCACACUGGGA